rnacentral:rRNA from 1 species
UACGUAGGUGGCAAGCGUUGUCCGGAUUUACUGGGCGUAAAGGGCGCGUAGGCGGCCCGCUAAGUCGAACGUGAAAUCCCCGGGCUCAACCCGGGAACUGCGUCCGAUACUGGUGGGCUCGAAUCCGGGAGAGGGAUGCGGAAUUCCAGGUGUAGCGGUGAAAUGCGUAGAUAUCUGGAGGAACACCGGUGGCGAAGGCGGCAUCCUGGACCGGUAUUGACGCUGAGGCGCGAAAGCCAGGGGAGCAAACGGG